GGGCGUAUAGCUCAGCGGUAGAGCUCUGGUUUUACACACCAGCGGUCGGGGGUUCGAACCCCUCUGCGCCCACC
rnacentral:tRNA from 3 species